rnacentral:lncRNA from 1 species
CAGAAUAUUGCUUCCAUAAUGACCAUCAUCUGUUUUAUUAAUAUCAUCAUGAUUUUUAUUUACAAAGAAUGGGAUCUGUUAAAAAGAAAGUUGAGCAAUCUAGUGGGCAUGCUUUGUUACUCUUGGAUAGAUCAAGUUGAUCCUUCUAUUCCUACUGGAAAUGAUAGCAGUUGCCAAAUACGUACAACAAAUAUAUGAGAAG